ACCACAAAUCUCUCUCCACCCAUCUCUCUCUAGCUUUUACCUCUUCUGGCUCUUGAGGAAAGCCAAAAGAAUAGCCCCCAUAGUCGUGUCGAUCUCCUACUCUUCGUCCUCCGGCGAGCAGGCCAUCGACACGAAGCGUAGGUGAUGGAGAACCAGGGGUUUCUGUCGUACGAGAGGCUGGAAGGGAUGGCGAACUGGGUGGGGAUGAGCGUGGCGUCGGCCUUCUUCGCCUCCCUGGAGCGCUGCUCCUGCAUCAACCUCAGCACCGCCGAGGACGAGGGCGAGGAGGAGGAGGAGGCCAAAGACCGUCCCCUCAUGCUCACCAACCCCGUCAAUUUCGACUCCGUCCACAGCGACGAUUCCAAGACCUCCCCCGUCUAAUCCUCCUAGAUCCUUGAUCAGUUAAUGAUGAUCAUCAACUGGAAACUCAAAACAGGAGGCAAAUAUGCUGGCCAAUCUUUUACUGAAACUCAGGGCAAUCUUCUCCACUGUUGAUAUUAACGGCAUAUGAUGGCCCUUUGAUUUUCCUGUGUUAUUUUACUUUAUCAAUAGCAAUACAAAAAUAUUUUUAAUCAGAAUUAGAAACCUUGGGUGUUUUGUAAAGGAGAGAAGGUUUGUUCUUCCCAACGAAGUUCUCCAGUUGUCUACACACUUGUAUAACGUAAAAAUAUUGUGGGUAAUGGAUGUGAAGGAACCUGAUUUAGCUCC